CCCCCGUAGGGGCGGCAGUGGGGAAUAUUGGGCAAUGGGGGAAACCCUGACCCAGCAACGCCGCGUGAGGGAAGAAGGUCCUCGGAUUGUAAACCUCUGUUCCUGGAGAAGAGAAGAAGACGGUAUCCAGGGAGGAAGCCCCGGCUAACUACGUGCCAGCAGCCCCGGUCA
rnacentral:rRNA from 1 species